AUUAUUAUAGAAUAAAAAUUUCUUUAAAUAAUUGCAGGUACUCUUGGGACGAAAACCUAAGGCACCUAGUACUAGCCUUGGUAGUACCCACGGUUCUGUUCGGUGUGUCUCUUAGCGUGUUAUGUUAUUGGUAUUGUCCACCAAUGGGCAAGACUUGCGGUGGGCCAGGCCGUAAUUUGAUCGACAAAUACACCAGGAAGGAAGACAUCCUGGGAGAGGAUGAGUUCGAGGAAGAUGAGGAAGAAUACUGACUGCUGCCAAGGGCUCACCCCCCAGCACGGGAGUGACGCCGAAGAAACUAUUGAACAAUCCCCCUACAUAUACAUACUUUACGUUCUAAAUUUAAGCGAUCAAUCGAAAGCAAUAGCAACGUUAGGGAAAUUCCGGCAACGAAGACAAACAUAAUUCGUUCGUAUUUCAAAGCGUCUGACUAGUUUCGACCUUUACUACUUUCUACUUUAAUCCAACGCACUGCAUGCUGUAUUUCGAUCGACUGCUUUUAUUGCAGUAUAUCUAUUAACAUAAACGCAUUCAAUUUUAACUCUUUUAAAUUUCGCCUACGAAGUAUUGUACUUUCGCAUAUUACUCGGUCUAUCCGAAUUAUU